GAGACAGAGCUAAUUUACUGCUUGCAAAACCCCCAUUACUGCUAGCAAAAAGACCUCUACAAGAGCUAGUGCACAGACAGAGCUAGUUUACUGUUUGCAAAACCCCCGUUACUGCUGGCAAAAAGACCUCUACAAGAGCUAGUGCAAAGCCCAACCAUCUACAGAGCAACUAGUUGUUUACUAAGCAAGAAAAGUCAAGUAGUACGGCCGGCUAUAACUCAAGCCUUCUACAAACAAGUGCUUUUGACAUAUACAAACACUAGUGCUUUGCCCGCCUUAGCUGUCUGCUAGUGUAAAGUAAAGCACUCUUCCAUAUCUAGUGAGUGCCCAGGUUCACGUUUCUCAUUCUUUCAUUAUUUCAUAUAUAAAUUAACUAUGCUUUGAUCCGCAGCUUUGCUUAGCUCUAGCUAACUGAAGAAGAAAAUGUAAAUAUACAAAGCCUACUGAGACUUCUUUUGUUGAACAAGUAAAGCCCACAUCUUUAGAUUGUUUACUUGCAAAAGCCACAACAAUAUUGCUGAAACAUAUGGUGCC
rnacentral:lncRNA from 1 species